rfam:Exophiala spinifera strain CBS 89968 unplaced genomic scaffold supercont1.2, whole genome shotgun sequence.
GGCAACAUGGCCGAGUGGUCUAUGGCGCAAGUUUCAGGCGCACCUGAAGCAUCGCUUCUUUGGUUUAAUUGAAGUUUACUUGUGGGUAAAACCGCGUGGGUUCGAAUCCCACUGUUGUCA